UUUUUUUUUUUUUUAAUGCCUAGUGAUAAAUAUUUACACAGCCAUGUUGCUACACAACCUCUGGCAAAUGUACACUGCUGUAAAUAUAUCAAGUCUCAGUCCUACUAGGACUUCUUAAUAAGCGUGUAAUCUUACUGAAGCCCAGAGAGCUUCUCCGAGCACACCAGCUAAUACUAAAUUUUCAAUCAUCUCUCUAUAAAGGGAAGAAUGGUAUUAACUUUCACAGAAUGUUUUGAGAUCCAUGGAUGAAAAUUACUGAUAAAGUGUGGAGAAUUAUUUAUUAAAUAACAAUGUAUAUGGGUUGUGAAAUAUCUGACAGCACGGAGCUGAAUUCAUGACUGAUUCUCAGCUCUGUUACUGUUUUAUGUUUCAAAGGCCUUUGAAGAACUUCUAGGUAUUUUUCCUAUUUUUUUUUUUUUUUUUACUGUAGCCCCCAGUGUACAGUUUCUGAAAAUGACCAGCAAGAAAUCCAGGAAGUCAAAACUGAAUGUGUUCUGAGAUGUCACUGAGGAAGUGUGAGAAGUUUUGUGAACGAACCGCAUUCAGACACUCAGUGUCUGAAUUUCUGCAUUUUCUCCCUCAUCCCUUGAAAACACAAACACAUAAUAGCAAAUAAGAAAAAAUACGUUGUACUCCUUAACGAAGGGGGAAAAAAAUCAAAGGAAUUUCACUUUCCAUCUCAGUUGAAUUCCAAACUGUUCAGUCUCUGUCAUACUGUCAGCAUAAAAUAUUUCAGUUCCCAAAAACUGAAAGAUUAACAUACCGGAGUUUUCUGGAUUUACUUCAUUUCUCUACUUCUUCAUCACUGAUUAUUUAUUUUUUUUAAAUUAAAAGUUAAUGAAUGAAAGCGACAGUAUGGGCCUGAAACUAAUCUCUCUUCCACAGUUCGUUGAAUGACAGAAGAAUCUCUUCCAAGACUGCAGAAGUUAUGCAGCCAAAACUGGUGGAGUGUUGGGGUUUAUAAAAAAGCUAUUUUAAUCCAUUUUGAUCUCUGGGGCAUAUCUUUGUGAUGUUCUUUCCACUGAAUUUUCAAGAGUAUGAAUUUCUGAGAUACGAAAUCCUCACACAGAGUUUCAAAAGAUCAUAUUUGUGAUCACAGUUCCCAUUGAAACUCCAGUAUAAGUAGUUCAAUUUUUCAAAAGAGCACUAACAACCAAAAUCUUUAGAAAAAAUAAUGUUGGUAUCAUCAAGUGGCACCACUCAAAGAUCUUUCCAAUCCGGACCCAUUAUAAGCACUGAGCAUCUGAACAUUGAGCUCCUAAGUGCCAUUGUUGAGGCUGUCAUCAUUCUUGCUUAAUUAAGCGGUGCCAAUUCUUCCAUAUAUGAACUUCAUGUAUGUGGACUGUAGGGGUACAGCAGUAAUUUAGACAGACUGUUGUUGGAGGUGAGGGGAAAAGAACUGAAGGUUUUAUCCAUUUUAGAGUAGCAGAAAUUACUAAAUAUAAGAUAGGCCUGUAGAACAAUUUUAUUUUAUUUUUUUAAACUUGAGGAAGAAUUUCUUUAAAUAGUUUCAGUGUAACACUCCUUUUGAUAAAGAAAUAAUCACUGUCUUUGGUUUAUUUGAAAACUUUGUAGUACUAAAACAUUCCAUGCAGGAAAUGUGCCUUGAAGAACCAAGAGCAAUUUCUUGCAGAAGAGCAACAAGGAAAGGUGUACAAAGUUCAGCCCGAGGCUGUUCUACCUAUCCUUUGCACACGAGCAGUGAAUGUCCCUGGCAUUCAGGAAGUGACAGCUGGUAUGAGAGGAACAACCAGGGGAGUGCGGGUGGCAAAACAGAAUGUGCUGAAGUUACCAUCUCAUCAGAGAAAAAUGUAUUAAUAUCUUAUGAUGUCCUGGGACAAGCCUGGAUCUACCCAAAAAUUGUAACUUGAAGAAUCCCAGUCUGCAAAUGCUGACCAUAGGAACAAAGAGAAAAGAUGGGCCAUAAUAAUAAUAAUAAACAACAACAACAACAACAUGAAUGUUAUGAAAUACUAGAUGGCUUGUGGACAAGUAUAAUUUGAUUUGAAACUGAACCACAAAAAAGCUGUGCUGUUCUGCUGCUGUUCUGCAAAGCAUGGAUGGUAGGACUCAGACCUAUCUAAAGACUGAGUUUAAUUUUGUGUUCAUAAGGCACUUUGAAUAUCUCCAAUAUCCCUUGGAUAUCUGUUCAGCCCAGAGUAGAGCAGGUUGAGGGGAGGCCUCAUGGCCUCACAGGGAGUGGAGGGGUAGCACUGAACUCUGCUCUCAGGUAACAGCAAUAGGUCCCAAGGGAAUGGCAUGGAGUUGCACUGCAUGAUGGUCAGGCUGGGUGGUAGGGAAAUAUUCUUCACCAGAGGGCAGUAGGCAUGGAACAGGCUUCUCCAGACAGUAGGCAGAGCCUCAAGCUGCCGGAGUUCAAGAAGCACUUGGACGACGCUCUCGGACAAAGGGUUUGAAUUUGCAUGUCUCAAUCUACCUUACACAGCUAAAUAGCCAAAUACAAUUUCAAGCCAAGCAUUCUCCUUCAUUGUCUCUCCUGAGGAGUCUCAUCUGCUGUUGUGUCCAGAAUAUGCAGUGUGGUUUAUAAACUUGCACAAUGGUUAGGGCACUGUACCAGAGGUAGGUGAAAGACUUUUGGUUCCCUUUUCCUCCUUGUCUGAGACAAGCUGGAAGGACAGGAGUGAUAACCAGAAGUGAAAACAGUUCAAGGCAGAAUGAGAGUGAGCAAAGAUUUCGAGUGUUCAGGGUACUGGCUGGGUUUGUCAAUCCUUCAUUGCCAUUUCUGUAGCUGUUAAGAAAAUUCAGAGGGCCACAAAAAUGAUUCAAGGGAUGGAACACCUCCCCUACCAUGACAGGCUGAGAGAGCUCCGGGGCUGUUCAGUCUGAAAAAGAGAAGGCUCAGGGGAGACCUGAGAGUGGCCAUUCGGUAUCUAAAGGGGAGCUCUAAGAAGGAAGGGGGCAGACUCUUUAGCAAGGUCUGUUGCGAUUGGACAAGGGGAAAUGGCUUCAAACUAAAAGAGAGGAAGUUUAGGUUGUAUAUAAGGAAGAAGUUUUUUAUGAUACGGGUGGGGAAGCACUGGCACAAGUUGCCCAGAGAGGUGGUGGAUGCCCAUCCCUGGAGACAGUCAAGGUCAGGCUGGACCAGGCUCUAAACUACCUGAUCUAACCAUAUGUGUCCCUAUUCAUUUCAGAGGAGCUAAACUUAUAAGUGUCCCUUUCAACUCAAACAAUUCUAUGAUUCUAUGAUUGCAUUAAAUUGAGGAAAAAGUUGUAGAGCAGGAACUAGAACCCAGAUCUGCCCUCUGCCUCCAGAUAUACCCUUCUCUGCUGAGCUUGGUGAACUUAAAAGUCCUUUUCCACAUUGAAAGUAGUUUAUAGGAUAAUAAUAGUGCCUUAUUUCUUUGUUGAGGUGCUAAGGAAAUACAAGUGUUUAAAUGCAAUCUUCUGCUGUAUUUUUUAAGAAUUAAUGUAAUAAAAGGAAUUCUUUC
ensembl:lncRNA